rnacentral:rRNA from 1 species
GUAGGGUCCGAGCGUUGUCCGGAAUUAUUGGGCGUAAAGGGCUCGUAGGCGGUUUGUCACGUCGGGCGUGAAAACUCAGGGCUCAACCCUGAGCGUGCGUCCGAUACGGGCAGACUAGAGGUAUGCAGGGGAGAACGGAAUUCCUGGUGUAGCGGUGGAAUGCGCAGAUAUCAGGAGGAACACCGGUGGCGAAGGCGGUUCUCUGGGCAUUACCUGACGCUGAGGAGCGAAAGCAUGGGGAGCGAACAGGAUUAGAUACCCUGGUAGUCCAUACCGUAAACGUUGGGCGCUAGGUGUGGGGACCUUCCACGGUCUCCGUGCCGCAGCUAACGCAUUAAGCGCCCCGCCUGGGGAGUACGGCCGCAAGGCUA